CGGGUGAGUAAUGCCUAGGAAUCUGCCUGGUAGUGGGGGACAACGUUUCGAAAGGAACGCUAAUACCGCAUACGUCCUACGGGAGAAAGCAGGGGACCUUCGGGCCUUGCGCUAUCAGAUGAGCCUAGGUCGGAUUAGCUAGUUGGUGAGGUAAUGGCUCACCAAGGCGACGAUCCGUAACUGGUNUGAGAGGAUGAUCAGUCACACUGGAACUGAGACACGGUCCAGACUCCUACGGGAGGCAGCAGCA
rnacentral:rRNA from 1 species